GCUGGAAUGGCCCAAUUGGUAGAUUGAGCAUGAGACUAUAAUCUCAGGGUUGUGGGUUCGAGCCCUACGUUGGGCA